rnacentral:lncRNA from 1 species
AAAAAUAUAGAUAAAGAUGAAUUAAGAGAUGGUAUAAGGGAUACUCACUAGAAAAUACAAGUAUGAACAAGUUUGAUGAUGUUGUCUCUAAUGAAAAGUUGUGGAAGAAGUUGGUGGAAGAGUCUGGUGCCAAGGUUAUGGAAGAAUUAUGUCAAAAGUCUAUGAAGUCUGAUGAAAAAAGAAAGAAUAUACGCAAGUCUAUUAAAAGAAAAGCCUAUACUGAUGAGAACCUGGUUGCUCGAAGAAGGCAAAAGUUGAUGAUCCCUAUAGUGCGAAAGAAAAAUUGAGGAAUCAAAAAGUGCUAUGGGGCCGCACAUUUGCUGC